rnacentral:rRNA from 1 species
GAUGAACGCUGGCGGCGUGCCUAACACAUGCAAGUCGAGCGAACGGACGAUAAGCUCUCUCCCCUGAUGUUAGCGGCGGACGGGCGAGUAACACGUGCAUAACCUACUUCUUAGACUGGGAUAACUUCGGGAAACCGUAGCUAAUACCGGAUAAUACUUUGAACCGCAUGGUUCAAAAGUUAUAGACGCUUUUGCUGUUACUAAUAGAUGAAUCCGCGCUGCAUUAGCUAGUUGGUAAGGUAACGGCUUACCAAGGCAACGAUGCAUAGCCGACCUGAGAGGAUGAUCGGCCACACUGGAACUGAGACACGGUCCAGACUCCUACGGGAGGCAGCAGUAGGGAAUCUUCCGCAAUGGGCGAAAGCCUGACGGAGCAACGCCGCGUGAGUGAUGAAGGUCUUCGGAUCGUAAAGCUCUGUUAUUAGGGAAGAACAUAUGUGUAAGUAACUGUGCACAUCUUGACGGUACCUAAUCAGAAAGCCACGGCUAACUACGUG